rnacentral:rRNA from 1 species
GAUGAACGCUGGCGGCGUGCCUAAUACAUGCAAGUCGAGCGAACAGACGAGGAGCUUGCUCCUUUGACGUUAGCGGCGGACGGGUGAGUAACACGUAGGUAACCUACCUAUAAGACUGGGAUAACUUCGGGAAACCGGAGCUAAUACCGGAUAAUAUUUCGAACCGCAUGGUUCGAUAGUGAAAGAUGGCUUUGCUAUCACUUCUAGAUGUACCUGCGCCGUAUUAGCUAGUUGGUAAGGUAACGGCUUACCAAGGCAACGAUACGUAGCCGACCUGAGAGGGGGAUCGGCCACACUGGAACUGAGACACGGUCCAGACUCCUACGGGAGGCAGCAGUAGGGAAUCUUCCGCAAUGGGCGAAAGCCUGACGGAGCAACGCCGCGUGAGUGAUGAAGGUCUUCGGAUCGUAAAACUCUGUUAUUAGGGAAGAACAAACGUGUAAGUAACUGUGCACGUCUUGACGGUACCUAAUCAGAAAGCCACGGCUAACUACGUG